rnacentral:rRNA from 1 species
UAAGCCAUGCGAGUCGAACGAGUUUAGGCUCGUGGCGUACGGCUCAGUAACACGUGGAUAACCUACCCUUAGGACCGGGAUAACCCCGGGAAACUGGGGAUAAUACUGGAUAGGCAAUUUUUCCUGUAAUGGUUUUUUGUUUAAAUGUUUUUUCGCCUAAGGAUGAGUCUGCGGCCGAUUAGGUAGUUGGUUAGGUAAUGGCUUACCAAGCCGUUGAUCGGUACGGGUUGUGAGAGCAAGAGCCCGGAGAUGGAACCUGAGACAAGGUUCCAGGCCCUACGGGGUGCAGCAGGCGCGAAACCUCCGCAAUGUGAGAAAUCGCGACGGGGGGAUCCCAAGUGCCAUUCUUAACGGGAUGGCUUUUCAUUAGUGUAAAGAGCUUUUGGAAUAAGAGCUGGGCAAGACCAGUGCCAGCCGCCGCGGUAACACCGGCAGCUCUAGUGGUAGCUGUUUUUAUUGGGCCUAAAGCGUUCGUAGCCGGUUUGAUAAGUCACUGGUGAAAUCCUGUAGCUUAACUGUGGGAAUUGCUGGUGAUACUGUUGAACUUGAGGUCGGGAGAGGUUAGCGGUACUCCCAGGGUAGAGGUGAAAUUCUGUAAUCCUGGGAGGACCACCUGUGGCGAAGGCGGCUAACUGGAACGAACCUGACGGUGAGGGACGAAAGCUAGGGGCGCGAACCGGAUUAGAUACCCGGGUAGUCCUAGCCGUAAACGAUGCGGACUUGGUGUUGGGAUGGCUUUGAGCCGCUCCGGUGCCGAAGGGAAGCUGUUAAGUCCGCCGCCUGGGAAGUACGGUCGCAAGACUGAAACUUAAAGGAAUUGGCGGGGGAGCACCACAACGCGUGGAGCCUGCGGUUUAAUUGGAUUCAACGCCGGACAUCUCACCAGAGGCGACAGCUGUAUGAUAGCCAGGUUGAUGACUUUGCUUGACUAGCUGAGAGGUGGUGCAUGGCC